ACUUGUAGACUAGUAUACUAGACGCUCACGAGUCUUAGCACAGUCGCAUCACUGCCAAUCCAUUGCUCUCGCCUAGUACACGACCAAUCGAUGAUGGCCUUGGAACCCUAGGAGCGGCCGCGCGGCUCAGCUUCGCCAUGGGCUCCCUCGACAAGGGAGGAGCGGCGGCGGCGGCGGGGAGGUACAAGCGCGUUCCGGGCCCAGCGCUGCGGGCUGGCUUCGUCGGCGGCGCGCGGAAGGUGCGGGCGAGAUCCAGGCUCGCGCGCUUCCUGCUGUCCGAGAAGGUGGACUAUCUCCAGUGGAUAGUCGGCGCCACCGCCUUCUUCUUCGUCGUCAUCGUCUUCGUCGCGUUUCUCCCGGAGUUGGGCGUCUUCGAGCGGCCCAGGCUGACGCUCCCCUCGCGCCGCGCGGGAGAGGGACGCGUCGGAGGCGGAGGCGGGAUUGAGGGCCGCAGCGGCCUCGUCAUGUGGGAGGCGGGCAUGGCGUCCCAGUUCCAGCCGACCAGGCUGAGGGAGAAAUGGGCGAGUGAGCGGAGGGAGGAGGCCAAGAGCUUGGCGGAGCUCGGGACGCCCGUAACGAGGCUCGGGGCACGGAAGCCGCGGCUUGCCAUGGUGUUUGGUGACCUGUAUCCCAGCGCAAUGCAGCUUCAGAUGGUCAGCGUCGCUUCGGUUCUGGAGGCCAUGGGCUACGAAAUGAAGGUGCGUCCCUGAACCUGAAAUGCUGUCUCGCGAACCAUAGGCUAGAAGUUUACUUGUUGGUCGUCAGACAAGUUCGUGGAGGUAGUACUGAUUUGAGUGGAACACGCGCCCUUGUGUUUGUUUUGUGACAUUUUGCUUCUAGCAGAUUGUUCAUGGCUAAACUAGGCUGUUGUCAUUAAUCGUCAAUAUUUUGGAGCAAGUUGGGUUGUCUUGUCAUGUCUGAUGUAUGCACCUAUUCAGUAAUGCAUGAGCCUUGUUGUUGGUCUCUA